rnacentral:rRNA from 1 species
AUGCACAUGCAAACAACACAUAGCAAGAUAUCCACAUAUUGUGUGUGUGUGUGUGUGUGUGUGAGAGAGAGAGAGAGAGAGAGAGAGAGAGAGAGAGAGAGAGAGAGAGAGAGAGAGAUGCAGGUGGUGACGGGUGCCAUUGGCAGCCUGCUCCCCAAGCUGGGGAAGCUGCUCAUGGAGGAGUACAACUUGCAGAAGAAGGCAAAGAAAGGUGUCGAGUCUCUCAUGCGAGAGAUGAAGACUAUACACGCUGCCCUCUGCAAGGUAGCCGAUGUGGCGAGUGAUCAGCUAGACGAGCAGGUCAAGCUCUGGGCUGAUGAGGUCAGGGAGCUCUCCUACGACAUGGAAGACGUCGUUGACAAGUUCCUUGUGCGUGUUGAUGGCUCUAAUAAACCCGCCGAUGAUGGCAACAAGCUCACGAAUCUCGUGGAGAAGAUGGCCAAUUUGUUCAACAACGGUAAGGCUCGCCGCCAGAUUUCUAGCGCCAUCAAGAACAUCCAGAAAGAUGUCCAAGAUGUGGCAGCCAGGCGUGGAAGGUAUACAGUCGAUGAUAUUGUGCCUAAGCCUACAGCUAGGACAGCUAUCGAUCCUCGUCUCCGAGCUCUGUACACUGAAGUUACGGAGCUUGUCGGCAUCUAUGGGAAGAGGGAUCAAGAGCUUGUCAAGUUAUUGUCCUUAGGAGAUGAAGAUCUGUGCAAGAAGAGACUAAAGAUAGUCUCUGUAGUUGGAUUCGGAGGACUAGGCAAGACCACUCUUGUUAGAACAGUAUAUGAUAAGAUCAAAGGAGGUUUCCAUUCUUGGGCUUUUGUUCCAGUUGGUCGGAAUCCUGACGUAAAGAAGAUAUUCAGGGACAUUCUCAUUGGUCUAAACAAGCAAAUUUACACUAAUAUCAAUCUCAUGGCAUUGGAUGAAAGGCAACUUAUCGAAGAAAUCCGUGAAUUACUUCAGGAUAAGAGAUAUCUCGUCGUAAUUGAUGAUAUAUGGGAUUCAAAACUAUGGGGAGAUAUCAAGUUGGCUUUCUCUAAUAUGAACAAUUUUGGAAGUCGACUAAUCACGACAACCCGCAUAUUGAGUGUAUCUAAAGCAUGCUGUCCUUCCACUCAUGAUUCCAUUUAUGAAAUGAAACCUCUCUCAGAUGACGACUCUGCAAGGCUCUUCUAUAAAAGAAUAUUUUCAAGUGAGAAUGGUUGUCCUAAUGAACUUAAGAAGGUAUCUAAAGAUAUAUUGAGGAAAUGUGGCGGUGUACCAUUAGCCAUCCUUACUAUUGCUAGUCUUCUUGCUACUGUUCAACAGAUAAAGCCAAAAUUUGAAUGGCAUGUUCUGGUAAACUCAAUUGGUCGUGGACUUACAGAAGAUGCAAGUAUGGAGGAAAUGCAGAGGAUACUAUCAUUUAGCUAUUAUGAUCUACCUUCUGAUAUGAAGACUUGUUUAUUAUAUCUAAGUAUGUAUCCCGAAGACCGUGAGAUUGACAAAGAAGAACUUAUAUGGAAGUGGAUAUGUGAAGAAUUUGUGCAGCAUGGAAAGCAACUAACUAGCACAUUUGAGAUUGGGGAAACUUAUUUCAACGAGCUGAUAAAUAGAAACAUGAUUCAGCCAAUAUACACUGGUUUUUGUGAAGUAAAAAGUUGCCGUGUGCAUGAUAUGGUGCUUGACCUGAUUCGUUCCUUGUCAGGUGAAGCAAAGUUUAUUACAGUAUUGGAUAGUAAUAAGGAUAUGACGUGUUGUCGUGGCAAUAUCCGUAGGAUAUCUCUCCAAAAUAUUGAGUUAGAUCCACGAACCACACCUCUCAUUAAUUCAAGUAGUAUGUCUCAAGUAAGGUCCAUUACUGCCUUUUUUCCAGCUACGACUAUCAUGCCUGCUCUAUCUAGCUUUGAAGUUUUACGUGUAUUGGAUUUGAGUGGAUGCAAUCUAGGGGCAGUUAACUGUCAAGUUAACUUGAGGGAUAUUGUGCAUUUAUUUCACCUAAGAUACCUAGGUCUAAGAAGAACUGGUAUAUGUGAACUCCCAAAGGAAAUAGGAAAUCUACAGUUUCUGCAGGUGAUAGAUGCACAAUACAAUUUUGACAUGAGAGUUUUGCCGUCAUCUAUGUGCAAGCUAAGAAAGUUAAUGGUCGUAAAGGUUUUGAUAUGCUGCAAUUGGACCCCUGGUGUGUUGGGUAACCUGACAUCAUUGCAAGUGUUGGAGAGGAUCUCUGCCUCUCCAAGCAUUGUGCAAGAGCUUGGCAACCUGGCAAGGCUGAGGGAGCUCGAGAUUCACUUCCUUCAUCGGAGCCCCGAGUUAGAGGAAGCUUUUGUGGAGUCUAUAUGCAAGCUGAAUGAUAUCCAAAGUCUGAAUAUUAACUACCAGGAUUCACCAUACUUGGAUCUCUUGGGGGAACGCUGGGUACCCCCGCGAUGUCUUGGCAAAUUUGAGUUCUAUUCAGACCACAUGGCAUGCUCUACAUUGCCGAUGUGGAUAAGGAGAUGUGGCCCCUCACAUCUAUCAAACCUAUCCACAUUCAGUAUCAUAAUCAAGGAAGUGCGGCAGGAGGAUGUGCAAAUCCUUGGGAGGUUGCAUUCUCUUCGCCAUCUUUGGAUGCAAAGCACCCACCAAACAGAAAGGUUGCUCGUCAUUGGUGCGGAUGGGUUUCGUUUAACGAUAGCCUUUGCAUUGCAUUGUCAGCCAGCCACUCAAGUAGUCUUUCAGCAAGGAGCUUUGCCAAAUGCAGAACAAGUCCGAUUCAAUUUGGGUGUGCGGGUGGCCAAAGAAGAUGGUAACGGUGAUUGCUUUGAGCUCGGCCUGCUUAACCUGCUCUCACUUCAGAGCGCGAUAGUUGAAAUCCAUUGGGAUGGCAUCAUAGUUAAGGAGGCCGAGAAAGCGGAGGCUGCGGUGAGAAAUGCAUUGAACGCCCAUCCUAACCAACCAAGCAUUGCUUUUAGUAUGGAGCCAUAUAUACCAGAAGACACUGAUGAUGAUGAUGACGAUGACUAUUAUGAUGACGACAUUGAUACUGACGUUCAAGGAAAAAGAAUGGAUCUGGACUAG